rnacentral:rRNA from 1 species
UACGUAGGGUGCAAGCGUUAAUCGGAAUUACUGGGCGUAAAGCGUGCGCAGGCGGUGAUGUAAGACCGAUGUGAAAUCCCCGGGCUUAACCUGGGAACUGCAUUGGUGACUGCAUUGCUCGAGUAUGGCAGAGGGGGGUGGAAUUCCACGUGUAGCGGUGAAAUGCGUAGAGAUGUGGAGGAACACCAAUGGCGAAGGCAGCCUUCUGGGCCAACACUGACGCUCAUGCACGAAAGCGUGGGGAGCAAACAGG